rnacentral:lncRNA from 1 species
CUUUGUUUCUCCGGCGCCGGUCGAGCUGGCUGCUGGUCACAACAGCUCCUGUCCUCUUACUUCUAUUUAUCACUUUCUUCACCUACUCAAGUUUAUCUUUCUAGUGUUUUGUUAGUAGCAUUAGUGUACACAACCUGUACACAGCUUUUAUAUAGUUUUUCUAAGUGUGGCGCAGUACAAACGCUGUUUUAAAGCUACGAUGUGCGUCGGGGCCAGAGCGCGCAUCGUUUACACCGCGGAGCAGCUGAUCGCGCUGCGCAGCGCCGUAGUUCUGCCCAGAGACAGACACGAGAUCACCGCUGAGGUGCUGCUGUGUAAUAAUUGCUGUGUACGUCCCACCCUCCGCUAACGCUGACACAGCUUCUGAGACCCUGCUCUCAGUCACCAGCAGGCUGCAAACACAGCACCCACAGGCCCUCUUCCUGAUCUCUGGGGACUUUAACCAUGCACCUCCUUCAGCUGCUCUGCCUACAUACACCCAGUAUGUGACCUGCCCCACCAGAGUCAACAAAACCCCAGACUUAUUCUAUGCCAACACCAAAGAGGCCUACACUGCACCCUCCCUCCCACCGUUGGGCAGAGCUGACCACAACAUCCUGCAAACCUUUUGUCACCUCAUACCACUGGAUUACCAGCCCCCACAGCCCUUCACACCUUUACACAAAGCCCUCUACCCUCAGCCCUGACGACUGGUGACUCAUCCCAACAACACCGCCUCACUUCACACAACACUGAGACACUGCCUCAACCCCUAUCCUUCUCCAGCACCCAGGUGAGAAGUGAGCUCAGGAAGAUCAAGGCCAGGAAAGCAGCUGGACCAGACGGCAUCAGCUCCAGACUCCUAAAGUCCUGCGCAGGCGAACUGUGCAGAGUUAUGGAGCAUGUCUUCAACCUGAGCCUCAAGCUGAGGGUGGUACCACAGCUCUGCAAGACCUCCUGCGUGGUACCAGUGCCCAAGACACCACACGCUAAAGACCCCAGCAGCUUCAGACCAGCGGCUCUGACAUCACACCUGAUGAAGACAUUGGAGAGACUGGUCCUGGGUCACCUCCGCUCUGCAGUGGGAACCUACCUGGACCCGCUGCAGUUCGCCUACCGACACGGCAUAAGAGCAGACGACGCCGUCAUCUUCCUCCUACAUCGAGCUCUUUCUCACCUAGAGAAGCCCGGCAGCACUGUGAGGAUCAUGUUCUUUGACUUCUCCAGUGCCUUCAACACCAUCCAGCCGGUGCCUUGCAUUCUGCAAGGAGGAGGAGAUCCCCACUGCUUCCAGCUGCUUCUCAGCCAAUAUGAGAUCCAGUUUGGGCAGUACCGGGGACAGACCUUCAAGUGGCUCCUGAGUCACGACGUGGGCUACGCUGUGUCCCUGCUGGCCUCACACCAGAAGGAGCGGGAGAGUGGUGACACAUCCAGCUCACCACUUAUGGCCAACAAGGUGCUGUGGAGUACAACACAGAAAUAUCUCACUCAUCCUAGUACAGUAAAAGUAGAGCCAUCAUUAGAACUAUUAUACGGAUCCCAACUCACACAGCUCAAUCAGAGCAAUCAUCAAGAAAUUCCUAUUUCUGUCAUAAUACACAUAUUCUGUUCUCCCGCUACACAGGAUGCCCUCACCUCCUACAGCAAGCUGUUCCCAGAGGUGAUGUCAGCCGUGGAGGGAUGCCGUGCCACGGAGGGUUCCAAGUCUGUCCGGAGCCAAGACAAGAAGUUGGUGGAGUUCGGCCCCCACGGAGCCAUGACCUACGCCUCCAUGUACGAGGCCACGGGGAAAGAGGUUGAGACCUACGUGCAGUGGCUGAGGAAGAAGAAGUGCAUCCCAGGCAGCUCUCUGCAUGCUUUAAAGACCUACAUACUGGGCCGGGACCAGGAGAAGAACCAGCAUCCCUCCCAGCAGCCCCAGUGCCCACCAUCUGACGGUGUUGUGCUCCCAGUUGCUGUUCCUGCUGCCUCCACGCGUGUCUCUGAAAAGCUGAUUUCUUUGUCUUCUCUGUGUGAAACAGCUGCUAACGAGCCCUCAGACGAGAUGCUCCUGGCUGCUGCCUUAGAGGUGGAGAGUCAGCAGGUCCCAUCUUCAGCCUCCACUCCUGUGCCCGUUGAUGACCUGGACCUGUCUUCCAGUGGUGACAGCAGCGUCGCCGUGCGGCCCAGGACCAGAGCUGCAGCCGCAGCUGAGGGCUGUCCUAAACCCUCGCGGCCAAUUAGUGGCUCAGAGGUGAGACACCCCCCUCCCUCCCUCUGCAGGGCAGCUCCCCCACUGUGCUUCAAAUUGUUUGGCUUGUGCUCACCUUUUGUCUGUUUCUGUGGUGAAGUUGCUGCCUGCAUCCCCCACUGUGCUUCACAUUGUUUGGCUUGUGCUGACCUUUUGUCUGUUUCUGUGUUGAAGCUGCUGCCUCACAGCUGGAGGCAGACUCUGCCGGAGGAGCAGCAGGACUGGGUGGGCCGGGCUCUGUUCACCAGGAACGCCAGGGGCCAGCGUGUCCUCACCACCGACCUUCGCCUCUGGUGGUACCCUCCCGGAGCCCGGCCCCUCUACACCCAGACCCCUGCAUCGUCCCACGCCUUCUUCCAGAGGCCGUUCUUCCUGUGGCUGCCCUACAAGAUGUGGGCGUGCAGGCUUGUGUGCCCCAGCUGUGACACGAAGCUGACCGGCGCAGGACUGCACAAGACGGUGCGCAGGGUUCUGGACAGGGACGGCUGGUACUUUAUGGGCACAGAGUGCCUGGAAUGUCGUUCCUGUGGGAAGAAGAUGGCCGCCUGGGUCCCGGACAUCAUCAAUCAGUUGGACCCGGGUCACCGGAAUCAAUUCCCGGCUGUACUCACCUACAAGUAA